GCUCCGAUCAUCCCUCUCCCUCCGUUCUCUCCCCCAAUCGAUGGCGGCAACCACCGCCGAGUUAAAGACUCCAUGGUCUCGCCUUCUCUCCCUCCAACCAUUCCUCCGCUCUCCCAUCCGUCGUGCAGGGGCUUCUGCCCGAGGUGGAGCGGGAGAAGCAGCUGGCUCAUGGGAAAUGCUUCCAAUAUCUUCGUUAUAUGGGGCGUCGCAGAUAUCGCGCAAUUGCUCAUGCAAUCCAAUCCAUGUCUGAGAAGAUAAAGGCAGCCCAUCUACAUGUGCAAGUAAUAAGGAGAACAGGCAAAAGUUGACCUGGGGUGGAGUUCACAUUCCUGUUGAUGUAGUAGGUCUAUCUCUCCACGAAGCAUAUUGGGGAAAUACUUGUUGGAUUAAGGUCAACUUGUUUCUAAGAUUUGAUACUAUGAAGUGCCAGGGACAUGAUAUUUAGUGUUCAUGUGUUUUAUCAGGACAUUGGAUCAUGCAAUCAUCACCGAAGUUCUUGAGAAACUUUACAAUGGUUAGUCUUUUUUGUUGCUGUCAUUCUGGUGAAUCAAAUCAAUGAAUCUUUUCUUGCUGA